rnacentral:rRNA from 1 species
AACGAACGCUGGCGGCAGGCCUAACACAUGCAAGUCGAGCGCGCCCUUCGGGGUGAGCGGCGGACGGGUGAGUAACGCGUGGGAACGUGCCCUUUUCUACGGAAUAGCCUCGGGAAACUGAGAGUAAUACCGUAUACGCCCUUUGGGGGAAAGAUUUAUCGGAAAAGGAUCGGCCCGCGUUGGAUUAGGUAGUUGGUGGGGUAAUGGCCUACCAACCCGACGAUCCAUAGCUGGUUUGAGAGGAUGAUCAGCCACACUGGGACUGAGACACGGCCCAGACUCGUACGGGAGGCAGCGGUGGGGAAUCUUAUAGAAUGGGGGCAACCGUGAUCUAGCCAUGCCGCGUGAGUGAUGAAGGCCUUAGGGUUGUAAAGCUCUCUCAGCUGGGAAGAUAAUGACGGUACCAGCAGAAGAAGCCCCGGCUAACUCCGUG